AGAGUUUGAUCAUGGCUCAGGAUGAACGCUAGCGGCAGGCUUAACACAUGCAAGUCGAGGGGCAGCAUGUCCAGCAAUGGAUGAUGGCGACCGGCGGAAGGGUGCGUAACGCGUGAGCAACAUGCCCUAUACAGGGAGAUACACCAGGGAAACUUGGUCUAAUAUCCCAUAGCAUUCAUUGAAGGCAUCUUUAAUGAAUUAAAGCUUCGGUGGUAUAGGAUUGGCUCGCGUGACAUUAGCCAGAUGGUGAGGUAACGGCUCACCAUAGCAAUGAUGUCUAGGGGUUUUGAGAGGAAGGCCCCCCACACUGGGACUGAGACACGGCCCAGACUCCUACGGGAGGCAGCAGUGAGGAAUAUUGGACAAUGGAUGGAAAUCUGAUCCAGCCAUGCCGCGUGCAGGAAGACGGCCUUAUGGGUUGUAAACUGCUUUUAUACGGGAGCAAUAAGGGUUACGAGUAAUCCGAUGAGAGUACUGUAUGAAUAAGGAUCGGCUAACUCCGUGCCAGCAGCCGCGGUAAUACGGAGGAUCCGAGCGUUAUCCGGAAUUAUUGGGUUUAAAGGGUGCGUAGGCGGCCAUUUAAGUCAGCGGUGAAAUUUUGCAGCUUAACUGUAACAGUGCCGUUGAUACUGUUUGGCUAGGAUUUGGUUGUAGUGUGCGGAAUGUGUGGUGUAGCGGUGAAAUGCUUAGAUAUCACACAGAACACCGAUUGCGAAGGCAGCACACUAAGUCAUUAUUGACGCUGAGGCACGAAAGUGUGGGGAUCAAACAGGAUUAGAUACCCUGGUAGUCCACACUGUAAACGAUGAUAACUCGCUGUCGGCGAUACACAGUCGGUGGCCAAGCGAAAGCAUUAAGUUAUCCACCUGGGGAGUACGACCGCAAGGUUGAAACUCAA
rnacentral:rRNA from 1 species